rnacentral:lncRNA from 1 species
GGGGAUUGGAGCAUAAAGUGAGUCAUGCACCUGGGUCUGGGCCUGCCUUCUGCCUCCUCCCAGUUCCCGGCCCCAUUUCCUGAGUCCCCUGAGAAGCCGGCAGGACGGCGGCCCCCGCCUCCCCCUCAGCCUCUUUGCCACCUCCUGGACCACUGUUCCUGCAGUUUCUCAGGCACUCAAGGCUCAAAAAGCCUCCAAGGGAGACGAGGAGGGAUGACCAAGCGGGGCCUGCUCAGAGGCCGGGGCGGCAUCUUGGGAUCUGAGGAGAGUGUGAAUGAGCAACCCUGAGCAGGUAUGAGCUAGGGGUGUGACAGAUGCAACACCUGAGUUUGUGAG